UGGGGGAUAUUGCACAAUGGGCGAAAGCCUGAUGCAGCGACGCCGCGUGGGGGAUGAAGGCCUUCGGGUUGUAAACUUCUUUUGCUCUGAACAAGGCAUGCUAAUGGGUGUGUUGAGUGUAGGGGUUGAUUAGCGCCGGCUAACUACGUGCCAGCAGCCGCGGUAAUACGUAGGGCGCGAGCGUUGUCCGGAAUUAUUGGGCGUAAAGGGCUUGUAGGUGGCUGGUUGCGUCUGUCGUGAAAGCUCAUGGCUUAACUGUGGGUUUGCGGUGGGGACGGGCUGGCUUGAGUGCAGUAGGGGAGGCUGGAAUUCCUAGUGUAGCGGUGGAAUGCGCAGAUAUCAGGAGGAAUACCGGUGGCGAAGGCGGGUCUCUGGGCUGUUACUGACACUGAGGAGCGAAAGCAUGGGGAGCGAACAGG
rnacentral:rRNA from 1 species